rnacentral:rRNA from 1 species
UACGGGGGGGGCAAGCGUUGUUCGGAAUUACUGGGCGUAAAGGGCUCGUAGGUGGCCAACUAAGUCAGACGUGAAAUCCCUCAGCUUAACUGGGGAACUGCGUCUGAUACUGGAUGGCUUGAGUUUGGGAGAAGGAUGCGGAAUUCCAGGUGUAGCGGUGAAAUGCGUAGAUAUCUGGAGGAACACCGGUGGCGAAGGCGGCAUCCUGGACCAACACUGACACUGAGGAGCGAAAGCCAGGGGAGCAAACGGG